UGGUUCCGUAGUGUAGUGGAGUUAUCACGUUCGCCACACACGCCGAAAGCGUCUCCGGUUCGAUCUCGACGGAACCAA